AGCGAACGCUGGCGGCAGGCCUAACACAUGCAAGUCGAACGGAUCCUUCGGGAUUAGUGGCGGACGGGUGAGUAACACGUGGGAACGUGCCCUUUGGUUCGGAACAACUCAGGGAAACUUGAGCUAAUACCGGAUGUGCCCUUCGGGGGAAAGAUUUAUCGCCAUUGGAGCGGCCCGCGUCUGAUUAGCUAGUUGGUGAGGUAACGGCCCACCAAGGCGACGAUCAGUAGCUGGUCUGAGAGGAUGAUCAGCCACACUGGGACUGAGACACGGCCCAGACUCCUACGGGAGGCAGCAGUGGGGAAUCUUGCGCAAUGGGCGAAAGCCUGACGCAGCCAUGCCGCGUGAAUGAUGAAGGCCUUAGGAUUGUAAAAUUCUUUCAGCGGGGACGAUAAUGACGGUACCCGCAGAAGAAGCUCCGGCUAACUUCGUG
rnacentral:rRNA from 1 species